GUCAGGAUGGCCGAGCGGUCGAAGGUGCUGCAUUUAGGUUGCAGUCUCUUUGGAGGCGUGGGUUUGAAUCCCACUCCUGACA